ACGAACGUUGGCGGCGUGGAUUAGGCAUGCAAGUCGAACGAAUCCCAUCUGGGUAACUGGGUGGGGGAAGUGGCGAAAGGGGCAGUAAUGCGUGGGUAACCUACCCCGGGGUUUGGCAUAGCCGUCCUAACGGACGGGUAAUUCCAGAUGACGUGGCAACACCAAAGGUUUACCGCCCUGGGAGGGGCCCACGUGCUAUUAGCUAGUUGGUGAGGUAACGGCUCACCAAGGCUAAGAUGGCUAGCGGGUGUGAGAGCACGACCCGCGCCACUGGCACUGAGACACUGGCCAGACUCUUACGGGAGGCUGCAGUCGAGGAUCUUCGGCAAUGGGCGCAAGCCUGACCGAGCGACGCCGCGUGUGCGAUGAAGGCCUUCGGGUUGUAAAGCACUGUCGAGGGGAAGAAAAGCCGUAAGGUUUGAUCGACCCCUGGAGGAAGCACGGGCUAAGUUCGU
rnacentral:rRNA from 1 species